rnacentral:rRNA from 1 species
AGAUACCCUACUAUGCCCAACCGUAAACACUGUUUUUAUCCGCCAGAGAACAACGAGCUAAAGCUUGAAACCCAAAGGACUUGGCGGCACUCCACACACCCUAGAGGGGCCUGUCACAUAAUCGAUAACCCACGAUAGACCUUACCACCUUUUACCACAUUAGCCUAUAUACCGCCGUCGUCAGCCCAUCUUAAUAAGAGUAUGGGCCCAAUAGUUCCGCACACUAACACGACAGGUCAAGGUGUAGCCCAUAAGGUGGCAAAUGAUGGACCACAUUGCUUACUAUAGCAAACAAGACAGCCUGAAACAGGCCUUUAAGGUGAAUUUAACAGUAAGGUAGACAAGAAAAUUAACCUAAAGACUGCUCUGGAGCGUGCACACACCGCCCGUCAC